UUUCCGUAGGUGAACCUGCGGAAGGAUCAUUAUUGUAUACCCGAGGUGCGAGGGCUGUCGCUUACCCGCUAGUUCCUGCACGCCCGAUUGCCCUCCCACCCGUCCAUCUCACCCCUAUGUGCACCACCUCCUGGGCCCCCCUUUUGCUUCUUCGGAGUGUGUCUUUCGUUUUCACACAAUCUUUAUUUGCAGUAUAUUUUGUAUUUUGUUUUUUUGCGUUCGCCCAAUCUAUACAACUUUCCACAACGGAUCUCUUGGCUCCCGCAUCGCUGACAAACG
rnacentral:misc_RNA from 1 species